GCUUUGAUACCCUCUCUCUCUAUAAAUAUAAUACACUCUCACUUAACAUGACUCCCACGCAGAUGAACAUAUGGAAUUUGUGGAAACUGCUGCCGUUAUUAAGCUUGUCAGGCAUCAUAAACCACAUCAAUACUGUCUUCUUCCCCCUCAUUUUUCUCUCUCUCUUUUUUUUUUCUUUUUUUUCUUUACCCUUGUCAUUGUUUUUUAU